rnacentral:snRNA from 1 species
GCGCUCACUUUGGCAGUACAUAUACUAAAAUUGGAAUAACACAGAGAAGAUUAACAUGGUCCCUGUGCAAGAAUGACACGCAAAUUUGUGAACUGUUCCAUAUUUGU